rnacentral:rRNA from 1 species
GAGGGGGACCUUCGGGCCUCUUGCCAUCAGAUGUGCCCAGAUGGGAUUAGCUUGUUGGUGAGGUAACGGCUCACCAAGGCGACGAUCCCUAGCUGGUCUGAGAGGAUGACCAGCCACACUGGAACUGAGACACGGUCCAGACUCCUACGGGAGGCAGCAGUGGGGAAUAUUGCACAAUGGGCGCAAGCCUGAUGCAGCCAUGCCGCGUGUAUGAAGAAGGCCUUCGGGUUGUAAAGUACUUUCAGCGGGGAGGAAGGUGUUGUGGUUAAUAACCGCAGCAAUUGACGUUACCCGCAGAAGAAGCACCGGCUAACUCC